UACGAAGGGGGCUAGCGUUGCUCGGAAUCACUGGGCGUAAAGGGUGCGUAGGCGGGUUAUUAAGUCAGAGGUGAAAUCCUGGAGCUCAACUCCAGAACUGCCUUUGAUACUGAUAGUCUUGAGUAUGGGAGAGGUGAGUGGAACUGCGAGUGUAGAGGUGAAAUUCGUAGAUAUUCGCAAGAACACCAGUGGCGAAGGCGCUCACUGGCCCAUAACUGACGCUGAGGCACGAA
rnacentral:rRNA from 1 species